UACGUAGGGCGCGAGCGUUAUCCGGAAUUAUUGGGCGUAAAGAGCUCGUAGGCGGUUUGUCGCGUCUGCUGUGAAAGCCCGGGGCUCAACCCCGGGUCUGCAGUGGGUACGGGCAGGCUGGAGUGCAGUAGGGGAGACUGGAAUUCCUGGAGUAGCGGUGAAAUGCGCAGAUAUCAGGAGGAACACCGAUGGCGAAGGCAGGUCUCUGGGCUGUAACUGACGCUGAGGAGCGAAAGCGUGGGGAGCGAACAGG
rnacentral:rRNA from 1 species